CAUUGCUGUAUGUUUGAAAAGAGAGGGAAGAUCUUCACUUCAGCUUAGUCUACUAUCUGAAUCUAAAAUUGUAUUCUAGAUCAAACUAGAAAUGAUGAUAUGAUUCUCACCAGUAAGAUGAAUAAGGGAGAGAAGCAUCUGGUGCUGUCCUCUGUCAUUUUUCCCAACUUUGAUACUGACUUAAUAUUUAGAACUACAGGAACUGUUUGUGACUCUGAGGCAACGGGCAUGAAGACAAAAGACAAUGUGUAAGGAGAGCAGAGUGGAAAGCUGAACAGAUCAUUAGGAACUGAUGGUGUCAGGGAUACUAUCAGAGGAAGCACAGCUCUGUUUGGAGACACACUUAUUCUGCUCUCAGUUCACAGCAAUACACUUUUCUUCCUUGAUUUGAAGAUGAAGUAUGGCUUUGCAGAAGGGUCCAUCCGAAGCCCAUGAGGUUCUGUCCUGUAAUCUCAACUUGACUUUGCUAUGGUUUCAGUGCUUGCAGCAGAACCCUGCCUGAUAGCUGACGCACUUUCCCCUGCUGGGACAAUUCUCAUUCCAGAUAUCUGGCGCUCCACUCUCUGGUUUCACCAAGCCUUCUGUCAACUUUAUUGGAGAGCCUUCCCCGGCGUUGAUCGGUAAACCAGAACAGUUUGGGGGCUCUCUUCCCUCUAUAAUUCCUUUGUUACCUGACACAAAAACUUGUUUAUCUCCUUGGAUGUAACACCUUCCAAUAGAGGUCUACUUCCACUUUGUUCCUGAGUCUGUUCCCAGCCUUUGAAACUGUAUUCAGUAGAGAAAGACUUCCGAUACACAUUUGCGGAAUGAAUACAUGAAACUGGCUGAGAAAAUGUCAAACGUUGUCUGUGGGAAAUUCUAGGUGUUGGUCUCUAAAUUGCACCACUGGGUACGUAUACUGUGAUGGCUCAGCUAUGGUCUUCUCUGGCAAAAGUGACUUCUGGACUUCUUUCCUGCCUCUGGCCUUUUCACCUUCGUCUCCAUUGCUCUGAAUUUUUGGGCAGAUCUCUUGGAGUCAGUCUGUUCUUCUGCCUCCCGUCAUGGUUCUCCAUAUGUUUUAAGUCCCAAAUCCAGGAGCUGCAGCCAUGGGCUCCAACUCCAUCUGCCUUGUCCCCCAUUGUGCCCUCUCAUUCUUGCAUUUGGCUGCUUGGAGAGCCAGCCCUGCACAGGCCGUGCAGUUUCAGGGCUUUUUAAAUGUGUCUGUUUUCUCCAAUCCUUGUUAAGUAUUUCUCUUUAUGCCCACAGUUUACACCAUUCCCCUUGGCCACUCUUCAGAGUUUCUAUGCCAUACCUUCUGAUGUGACACUCAACUCCAGCCUGGGCCGAUUAGCUGAAAUGCUGUUGCUCCUUAUGAACAUUUGUCUCACUGCAGUCAGUAACUUAUACCUCUUGGUCAUUUUGGCUCUAAGUCGUACACAGCGGGUCCAUUUUUGGCCAUCAGCAACCUUUAAUUAUCUGAGCUGUCAUAUGUGUUGAUUUUUUUAUUAUCUGGGAAAGCUGAUGGCCCUGUGUGUGCCCCAUGUCCAGUUUUCAGUGUUUAAUGAAACAUGCAGCGCAUCAACAUAAGGGCAUUUAGUAUGCUGACCAUUGCGGACGGAGCCUAGUGUCA